rnacentral:lncRNA from 1 species
AAGUAUACGACGUCAAUGUAAGUUUUAGAAGAAGUAACUCAUAUUAGAAUAAUGCUAUACUAAUAUAAAGAAUCAGAAAAGUGGUGCAGUUCCCUAAUAAGCCUUAAAGAAAUGGUAAUGUAGAAAUGCACUUUGCAUGCAAAAAUUGUGGCAAAUUUUUCAGUUUCCCUAGUCAUCUUCAAAUACAUGAAAGGAUUCACAUGACAGAAACUCUGAACAUUAAAACAUGGUAAGUCAGUUUCCCCACUUGCUUUCAAAGCCAUUUCACUCACAGUAGGGAGAAAACCUUCUAAAUGUGUGAUAUUUACUUCCUAUACAUGAAAGGUAAUGGAACAAAGAAAUGUGUGUAAGUGUCCAAUUUUUCCAAUUCUUUUGAAGAACAUAAAACAAUUUGCACAGGGUGAGAAAUUCUGAAAAAGAAAUCGGAUACAGUCUUCACAUGUUCCAGUUUGAUUUAUGUGUCAGACUGGAUUUCCACUGAAUUGACAAUAAUAGUAGAGAAAAAUCAACCUCAGGGAGGGAAGAUUUAUUUUGUCCAUGACUGGCUGACUGCCUUGCUUUAGGCCUGAGGUGGAGCAGAACAUAAUGUGGAAUGGUGUAGGAGGGUAGACCUACUUACCUCAUGGCAGCUGCGGAGGAGGGUGAGAGUGAACCAAGCCCAUCCCUAGUUGUCUUACAGGUUUGGAUUAUGCAGAGUGCAGCUGUGGCCUUUCUAUUUUCUGUGUGUCUGCUUCCCUUGAUACUGUAGUGUGCAGCCUUGAUGGGGUUUAUAUCCUUGGUGCCUGAUGGUACAGGUACUGAUUGGUAAAGGAAGAGGAAACAAUGGUGUUUGCUUCCAAUAAAGCAUGGGAGAGGCUACCCCCAGUGUUCUGAGGGCAAACUCCUUUGUCAGUGUGGGUUUCCUUGGCACUGCUGUUUGCCAUCAUUUCAGAAGUCGGAUGAGAAAAAGUUUUGAUGUCCUUGGAGAAAAUGACACUGCAUUGUGUACUAUCCUGAACAAGAAUAAAUCACAUUUCCUGAAGAUUGACAUGAUGACUUCCAUUGUAGGUUACUGGGCAGCAAAACUCUUUCACUUAACCACACAGAACAUGAGCAUUAGUGGGGAUCAGAUGAAGAUAACCUGUGCAACCUGCAAGUUUGCAUGAGUAACUAUCCCCAAAUUUUCAGAAGCAAUUUGUGUAGAAAGAAGAGGAGACAAAGGGCUGGAGUGUAGUUCAGAUGGUAGAGUGUUUUGUCUCCCAUGCAUGCACAAGGCCCUGGGUUCAAUACCUGGCACACACACAAAAAAGUAGUUAUGUGUAACAUGCAGUUCUAGCAACCUAAUAACAACUGACCUGCUCACCAAGACCCUUGAGUACAACAUGCUAUGCCUCCAGCUCAACAAGUGUGCUGAUCCUCUGGUAUCAGGUACUGGAUGGCUCUUCAGUUGGUCUUGAACCAGCCCACUUCCUCCCCACCCCCACUUUGUUGCUUAUAAAUCUCAAGAAUACAUGUAGAAUGUGGACAUAGAAGAAUGAAAAGCAAUCCCAUGAGAUGACAGGCCAAACUGUCUCUUGGAGAAGUGUGGGAAGGCAAACGGUAAGAGGCGGCAGAAUGGGAAGUGGAAAGAGAUGGGGAGACAGCGCACUGACCAUGUCCCUCCCUGACUCAGGGGCCAGUACAAUGGGAUGGAAUCUUUAAAGGAUUUGUCUUUUGAGGCAGCAUCAGAGUAAAUGUCCCUGUUCUUAUAGGACAAUUAUUCUCAAUAAUUCUGAGGAAUAAUUGAGAAUAAUAUUGGGAUAGGGUAUUGGAGGAAAUUUUUGACAAAUCUCAAAUCUGGGCAGCAGGUGGAGGGAUGGUGUGGACAUUAUUCAUAUAUGUGAGCUGGUUUUCAAUAUCCUGGUGUGAUCACUGAGCUCAGAGCACUGGAGAAUACUAUCUCAGAAGAUGAGACCCACGUCCAAAUCCUGAACGCUACUUGCUCAAACCAUGGAUUCUGGUUUGUAUGCUAACUUCAUUCCUGUAUAUUCAAAGGCAAACUACUAGUAAACAAAAAUUGCAUUUGGGGAUGAGCAACAAGGAAUUUGUUGAGGGACUAAAUAU